rnacentral:lncRNA from 1 species
GAGCUCGGAUUUCCCUAAAAAUCAACCAAACUCCCUAGAUCUAGUCUUAGAACAGGCAAAUUUAAACCCAAAAAACACCGAUUUCCACUACUCCAAAUGAUUCCAACUUUCACUAUUUGUUCCCCCAAUUGUGCUCUUUAUUGGCAUGGGCUUAUACCCUACCAAAUAUUCUCACCGCGGUGAACCGCCACCUUUGCCGCCUUAGCGGCCUCUUUAUUUCCUUCCCCUGUUUACCUUUUUAGCUUUCCUUACAACCUACUCCUCACUAACAAAAAGAACAACACCAGAAACAUUCAAAACCCCAAGCUGCCGAAUCACAGCGCCCUUCUAUGGUUUCGUUGUUUGUUCUUCUUUUUUUUUCUCAUGCUUUCUGGUGCUGUGGUUCCCCACCUGGGGAUGUGGUUGUUUUUUUUUUUUUUAACGUUUGUUUCUUGUUUAGGUGGGUCUCGGGUAGACGGGUUCGUGGGUUUGGGACUGAGUUGUGAGUAGUUUAUUGGAUUUCUUUUUUUGUUUUUUUUUUGGCUUAGCAGUAGGCAAUGGUGAAGUGGCUGGAAGGUGGCCGUUUGGGUGAUGGGGGUGGGUUUAUCGGAUCGUGGAGGAGCUUUGGCUCUGUGGUUUGUGGUGGUUUUUUUUUUGGCAGAGUGUUUUUCCGUAAAAUUUGGCCUCCAAAAAAUUUUCAGAAAAAAUUCCCCCCCUUCUCCACUGCUUCAAUCUUCAAUUUAUAAAAAAUACUCAGCAAAUGGACAAUCGUCCUCUUUACAUGUUAACUGUCCAACUUUUGUCAAUGGAAGAGGAAAACAUUCGCAACCCCUCAACUUUUGUCAAAGAAUUCCAUGCACAUGAUUUAAUAAUUCCAACUUUGACAGUGAUAGCAUAGGUUGGUUAUGGACUUUUCCACCAUUAAUUUUUAUAAAAAAUAAUAUAUAAUAAUUGAAUCAAAUUUAAA